AACAAAAAAAAACAAAACAAAGAAAAACCUAACCUAAGAAGAAACCUGCAAACAAUUUCUUUCUGGCUUUGUCUUCCUUCUCCUUCUCUUUGUUCAUCGUAUUUGUUUUGAUUAUUCAUUACAUCUCAGAUAUGUUUCAGAAAGAAAAGAAAAAACAAGUUUUCUGUUGAACGAAGUUGAAUCUCCAUAACCCUAAUCACAUUUCUUUUAUCCGUAUCUGUUUUCAUUGUUCGUUAUUGGUUUUGUUCUAAUUGUUUUUGUUUGGUUUUAUUUUGAUGGAACUAAUUUUUACUAUUGGUACAAUCAAUAAACCAUAACCCAUGUUUUAUUUUGC